CUACAGAAAAUCAAAGAGAAAAGUCCUAAAGAAGCUGCAGGAAAAAAACACCUUACCUAUGGAGGAAGAAAGAUAAGAAUAACAUCUAACUUCUUCUCAGAAACCAUGCAAAUAAGAAGAGUGGAGUGAAAUAUUCAACAGUGUUGAGAGAAAAAACCCCACCAAUCUAGAAUUCCAUGAAAUUAUCCUUCGAAAGUGAACGAGAAAUAGAGACUUUCUCAGACAAACAAAAACUGAGGGCAUUUGUUGCCUGUAGACCUACCUUGCAAGAAACGUCAAUUUUUUUAGAGAGAAGAAAAAUAGUAUGUCGGGAACUCAGAUCUACAUAAAGUGAGGAAGAGCACUGAAGAAGGAAUAUGCGAAGAUGCUGGAGAUACAAUGCUGAACACCAUACAGUCCUACAGUUGUGCUCGUAAGGAGUUUGUGGACUGUCUGGCAGUUGGACAUUAAUUCCAUCACUGGAGAGGAAGGAAAGGAGAGAGAACAGAACAAAGGAACCUCUGCUCUCCUGCCAUCUUCAUCACUCCUUCUUAGCCCCAGUUACUUCCUCUGCUUGCGGGAAAGAACUGAGAAAACAAGGCAAGAAGGUGAAAGGAGCAAUUGCCAACAAGUCGCCUGGAUUGGUUGAAACAUGCCACACUUGAAGGGACAAAGACUGAAAGGCUGUUUGGAAUCCAUAAUGGAAGGUCUUAAAUGACAAGUUAUACAUUGGACUACUUCUGAAGGCAAUUGGGUCUGUUCAGGUUUUUAUUGUCCACCAUCUAUCUGGAGAAGAAUAGAUGAAGUUUAACUUUUAUAGAAAUUUUGUCUUCUACCUAAAGACAUUAAACCAUAGGACAAACACUAUUACUGUAACCCUUUGAUUCUCCUCAAUGAAUAAGCUUUCCAGUGAACUUGCUGAUAUUAGUAGUGAAGGUCCUCUGAGAUCUGCCUGCACCCAACGCCCCCAGCCCUCUCUCGGUGUUUACCCACUCCUGGUGGUCUACUGCCCAUC
rnacentral:lncRNA from 1 species